rnacentral:rRNA from 1 species
CAUGCCAAUUAGCCAGCCCACCCCCUAAAAACGACACUCCCCCCAUUAAUACCCCCUUAUUCACCAGGCUCCGCCACACCAAAAACAAAGCAUUUUCCCUCCCCAGUACGGGCGACGAAAAAG